rnacentral:misc_RNA from 1 species
GCAAACUUGGUCAUUUAGAGGAAGUAAAAGUCGUAACAAGGUCUCCGUUGGUGAACCAGCGGAGGGAUCAUUACCGAGUUUACAACUCCCAAACCCCUGUGAACAUACCUUAACGUUGCUUCGGCGGACCACCCUCGCCUUAACCGGCGGGGGCCCGCCAGAGGACCCAAACCCAAACUUUGUGUUUUUUGUCUUGCAAAACGAACUUCUGAGUGGAUUUUAUAAAUCAAAUCAAAACUUUCAACAACGGAUCUCUUGGCUCUGGCAUCGAUGAAGAACGCAGC